rnacentral:lncRNA from 1 species
GCGGUCAGCAAUGCGCGCGGUGGCAUCACCACCAGAGCUGCAGCAAGGAGCAAACCGGGGACAAAUGGGAGGGGGGAUGUAGAGGAGGCCAGCCAGGCCGGGUGCCGCACCGAGACGUUGAUGCCUUUUGAUGCUGGCGAGGCCGGGAGGCGGCAUGGUGAGGAUGGAGGAGGCGGGGGACUGCAUAAUUUCAUCCUUGAUUACACUGGGAAAGUGCACCGAAUACCAUUUUCAACUAUGCUCUUACUAUAUUUAGUAGAAUUGUUAUAUGACACAUGGUUUUAUUUAUGGGAGAACUACGUCCUCAAGACUAAGGUCUGA